UGGUGUCACCUUCACUGUGAUGGAGACUAACGGGGACAAGACGCGGCGAGUUGAAGAUGCGUGCACGGCAAGCUAAGUGGACCUGCGGGGCGUGCUCCCGGCGCUGCGGGCGAAUGGGAGGUGCCAGAGACCGAGGAGGAGUCGGUCACAAGGAGAGCAGAGGAAGCUGAAACUGAACUGGGGUCCUGUGGGAUGAUGAGGAAUGGGUUUCAGGAGGAUGGAGGACCAGGAUAGGGAGGAUCAAGAGGAUGCAGAGCAGCCUCCAGGAAGCUAGCGGUGUGUCAGCCUGGGCGGGGCCUGGACACCCUAGCAGAGGUUGUCACCUCCAGCCUCCCGGUGAGAUUGUAGUUGGAGCCCCGGGUGCGCCCCGCAGUGGCAGGCGCGAGGCUGCUGACCCAAGCAGUUUCUUCCCUGCCACCUCGGAGAGUAGGGCACCAGAGCAGCUGGAGUUCGGCUCGGGGUACCACCUGGCCAUCCCCACCACCACAGGCGCCUGGCGAACGCAGGCCGCGCCUCCGGGGCCCUGGGCCGAGGGCCUGGCGACGUCACCGCGGCUGAGCGCUAACCUGGCGCGGGCUUCCUCCCAGCAGGUCCGAGUCCUUGAAGCCUGCUGCCGCAUCCUUGGCCCUCCUCCCAGGGAACCUAGAUUUUGCUAACUCGGGAAGGCUCUUAGUUCAGCUACUGAUAAGGACGCGAGCUAAUAGUUUAUGUAUAGAACAAGAAUAAUUAAGGUUUUUUUUAACAAUGCCGGGAAAGAAAUAGCCAAACCCGAGAAACAGACUAAUAAUAACCAACCAGCUAGAGCUCCUGUGCUCAACGCUCUUAAGGACAAUAAUGACGACAACAGCCAUAACAGCCACGGUUUAUUGAGCGCUUACUCUGCCAAGGCAGUGUUGAGCGCUUUGCAGGCAACAACCCUCAGAGGACACCCUAGGAAGAGGUGGUUCUCGACAUCUUUACGGAGAAGAAAAGGAAGGCCCAGAGAAGUUAAGCAAUUUGCUUGAGAUCACAGAACCAGGAGUCAAACUCCAUUAGCCUGAUUCCAGCAUUUCCCUUCAAUAGAGGAACGACCCAAGGAUUUCUCCAAAUCCCACCUAUCUUUCCAAGCUAAGUUCAAAGGCCUCAGGAGCAAUGGGGUCUACCCACCAUGCAUCUUUAGGAAUGACAGCCAUAAACUCUGGGGCUCCAGAGUGUGGGCUUCAGACCCACUUAGUGCUUAUCCCGGCACGGAAGAGAUCACUGAGCCCCAACCCCUUCCAGGACAUUCCGAGCUCUGGCCCAUGGGGAUGCUAACUUUCUCAGAUACAGAAGUCCUCAAGGAAAGUGUCACAGGCAAAUCUUACACAAGUGAAGCCCAGACUUGCCCCAGAGAUGACCAGACUGAGCCGGACCACCCACAUGAGACACAAUGAAAGUGUCCUCCCCAUCCAGGUUGAACCCAAAGAUUCCUCGGAGAGGGACAGAAUUCUGGAGACAUCCCCUUCCUGUUUGGAAUGUGCCCGUGCCCCAGAGCUCCUGCCCAGGAAGAAUAGGCAAUGAGGACUUCAGCUUCCCCAGGCACUUCGGAUGACCCUCGCCUUGCUCUUCACCUCCUGGAAGGACCAUUAUCACAGUACAGUGACACAGGGACCCUCUUCUUGACUUGGCACCAGUCCAGAAUCCUGGACCUGUAGUAGAAGAGACAGAAAACCUGCUCAACUCACUGUUGAUCCCAGAGACUGAGUAGGAAAAUUUUAUUUCUUCCUCUCCCCCUGAUGUUGGUGUGGGCUUCCCUCCUAAACCAGCCCUGGGCUCCACCACUGCCUUCACAAAUGCAGUCAAGCACAGAGAUUAAGCCCUUUAGCGCUGAAGACAGGACCACUCGGUUUAAUCUUAAUUUUUGCCCAGGUAUGUGACUGGUUCCCCGUUCCCGAUAGGAGAGAGCACAGCAGAAUAACAGCACGGCCCCAGUAGAGAGGUUUGUCUACAUACAAAUCACAAGUCACAUAGUGACUCCUACUUGUAAUCUCAGCAUCCUGGAGGCAAAGGCAGGAGGAUCUUCAUAUGUUUUUUGGCCAUUCAGAAAUACAGAGUAAGACCUUGUCUCAAAAGGUGGGCUGUUGUGUAAUGUUGCUCCAUUUGCCUUUAUUCGGGGUGGUGUGUGGGUUCCUGUUCUGAUUGGGGUUUCUAUUGCUGUGAUGGAACAUCAUGAUGAAAGCAAAUCAGGGAAGAAAGGGUUUAUUUGACUUACGCUUCCAUUGUUCAUCAUCAAUGGAAGUCAGUACCCACAUUCAAACAAAGCAGGGAUCUGGAGGCAGGAACUGAUACAGAGGACAUGGGCGGGUGCUGCUUACUGGCUUGCUCUUCAUGCCUUGCUCUGCCCGCUUUCUUAUAGAAGCCAGGACCUCCAGCCCAGGAAUGACCCCACCCACAAAGAUCUGGACCCUAUCCACCAAUCACUAAUUAAGAGAAUGCCGAAAGGCUUGCCUGUUGCCAGAGUCUAUGGAGGCGUUUUCUUCUCAACUGGGGAUCCCCCCUCUUAGAUGACUUUGGUUUGUUUCAAGUUGACAUAAAACUAGCCAGUACAGUUUCCUCAGAGAGACCUACCAGGUUCCGCAAGACCUAUUCUUUGGCUGCCCACUACAGCCCUGUAUCUCUCCCACCCUCUCCACCUGAUUAAACAUCAGUUUUGACUUCAGAAGAGGGGACUGUUUUUGUCUAGUGUGUGUGUGUCUGUGUGCAUAGGCAGAGACUGUUCCUUCAUUUCCGGGUUGCCCUAAACUGAAUAGAAACUAUAUUAAUUACAACAGUGUUUGGACAAUAGUUCAGGCAUUUUCCUUGUUAGCUCUUACAUCUUGAA